rnacentral:rRNA from 1 species
ACUGCUCAGUAACACGUGGACAACCUGCCCUAAGGUCUGGCAUAACUCCGGGAAACUGGGGAUAAUUCCAGAUAAACCAUAGAUACUGGAAUGUGCUGUGGUUAAAAGCUCCGGUGCCUUAGGAUGGAUCUGCGGCCUAUCAGGUAGUAGUGGGUGUAAUGUACCUACUAGCCUACGACGGGUACGGGUUGUGAGAGCAAGAGCCCGGAGAUGGAUUCUGAGACAUGAAUCCAGGCCCUACGGGGCGCAGCAGGCGCGAAAACUUUACAAUGCGGGAAACCGCGAUAAGGGGACACUGAGUGCCAGUACCAUGUACUGGCUGUCCGCAUGUAUAAAUCACAUGUGUCAGCAAGGGCCGGGCAAGACCGGUGCCAGCCGCCGCGGUAACACCGGCGGCCCGAGUGGUGGCCAUUAUUAUUGGGUCUAAAGGGUCCGUAGCCGGUUUGAUCAGUCUUCCGGGAAAUCUGACAGCUCAACUGUUAGGCUUCUGGGGGAUACUGUCAGACUUGGAACCGGGAGAGGUAAGAGGUACUACAGGGGUAGGAGUGAAAUCUUGUAAUCCUUGUGGGACCACCAGUGGCGAAGGCGUCUUACCAGAACGGGUUCGACGGUGAGGGACGAAAGCUGGGGGCACGAACCGGAUUAGAUACCCGGGUAGUCCCAGCCGUAAACGAUGCUCGCUAGGUGUCUGGGAUGGUGCGACCGUUUCAGGUGCCGCAGGGAAGCCGUGAAGCGAGCCACCUGGGAAGUACGGCCGCAAGGCUGAAACUUAAAG